UAGGAAUCUGCCUGGUAGUGGGGGACAACGUUUGAAAGGAACGCUAAUACCGCAUACGUCCUACGGGAGAAAGCAGGGGACCUUCGGGCCUUGCGCUAUCAGAUGAGCCUAGGUCGGAUUAGCUAGUUGGUGGGGUAAUGGCUCACCAAGGCGACGAUCCGUAACUGGUCUGAGAGGAUGAUCAGUCACACUGGAACUGAGACACGGUCCAGACUCCUACGGGAGGCAGCAGUGGGGAAUAUUGGACAAUGGGCGAAAGCCUGAUCCAGCCAUGCCGCGUGUGUGAAGAAGGUCUUCGGAUUGUAAAGCACUUUAAGUUGGGAGGAAGGGCAGUAAGUUAAUACCUUGCUGUUUUGACGUUACCGACAGAAUAAGCACCGGCUAACUCUGUGCCAGCAGCCGCGGUAAUACAGAGGGUGCAAGCGUUAAUCGGAAUUACUGGGCGUAAAGCGCGCGUAGGUGGUUCGUUAAGUUGGAUGUGAAAGCCCCGGGCUCAACCUGGGGAACUGCAUCCAAAACUGGCAAGCUAGAGUACGGUAGAGGGUGGUGGAAUUUCCUGUGUAGCGGUGAAAUGCGUAGAUAUAGGAAGGAACACCAGUGGCGAAGGCGACCACCUGGACUGAUACUGACACUGAGGUGCGAAAGCGUGGGGGAGCAACCAGGAUUAGAUCCCCUGGUAGUCCACGCCGUAAACGAUGUCAACUAGCCGUUGGAAUCCUUGAGAAUUUAGUGGCGCAGCUAACGCUUUAAGUUGACCGCCUGGGGAGUCGGGCCGCAGGGUUAAAACUCAAUUGAAUUG
rnacentral:rRNA from 1 species